rnacentral:rRNA from 1 species
GGAUUAGAUACCCUGGUAGUCCACGCCGUAAACGAUGGACACUAGCUGUUGGGCUUCGGCUCAGUGGUUAAGCGAAAGUGAUAAGUGUCCCACCUGGGGAGUACGGUCGCAAGAUUGAAACUCAAAGGAAUUGACGGGGGCCCGCACAAGCGGUGGAGCAUGUGGUUUAAUUCGAUGAUACGCGAGGAACCUUACCAGGACUUAAAUGUAGAUUGACAGGACUAGAAAUAGUUUUUUCUUCGGACAAUUUACAAGGUGCUGCAUGGUUGUCGUCAGCUCGUGCCG